CCCCCCGGGGGGGGGGGGGGGAGGAGGAAUCUUUAGAUAAAACCACCAUCACCAUCAUGAAUCAAGUCAUUGUGAAACAUAUCAGUUCAAUACAUUCCUCUAUUGUGUGAUCAGGACACAAAAGUGGAUGGUGACCCCGAGCUUCUGGAUGACUCUGAAUUUUACCAGCAGCUACUGAAAGAAUUUUUUGAGACAUUUGACCCAGCAUCAUCUGAGUCUACCUUUUAUGCUCUCAAGGGAAUGCAAACUAAGAAAAGGAAGAUUGUUGAUCGACGUGCCUCAAAGUGUCGCAAGAUCAGGUAUAAUGUACAUGAAAAGAUUGUCAAUUUCAUGGCGCCUCAGCCCGUGCAGGUUCCUCCCAUGGCCCCCAAGUUAUUUGAAAAUUUGUUCGGCCUCAAAACCCAGAAACCCGUCUCUGUGGUGUAGCACAACCUGAUGAUAAUAGGGCUUCGAAUUUUUGUGAUCUUACUUGAUAUAAUUGCUCAUUGAUGUGAUGUAUCCAAUUUUGUUUUGUUAUGUUUUUUUCACUGCCACAUGUCGAAUGUUUUUUUAUUAGGAUGCUUUUUUGGUUCAGUAUUUUUUGUUUUCAUGUAGACCCAACAUCUGAUAGGUACAUUGUGGGAAUAAACAGUGAAAAUUAAUCAGAAAUAAAUAUAAAUAUUUUUUUUCUGUACAAA